rnacentral:rRNA from 1 species
UACAGAGGUCUCAAGCGUUGUUCGGAUUCAUUGGGCGUAAGGGUGCGUAGGCGGCGCGGUAAGUCGGGUGUGAAAUCUCGGAGCUUAACUCCGAAACUGCAUUCGAUACUGCCGUGCUUGAGGACUGGAGAGGAGACUGGAAUUUACGGUGUAGCGGUGAAAUGCGUAGAUAUCGUAAGGAAGACCAGUGGCGAAGGCGGGGUCUCUGGACAGUUCCUGACGCUGAGGCACGAAGGCCAGGGGGAGCAAACGGG